UUCAUUCCUUAUUCAUUCGCGUGCUUGCACACAGUCAGUGAGUGAGGCGUAUAAGUAACCAACCAACAGGCACCGCGAGUUUCGUGUUGAUAUUGGCCACAUUGGCGUCUUCUCUGUCAUCGCCCCAAACGCGAAUUCAGUCUCCGGAGAAGUGUUUUUGUGUUCGGUUGUGUUUUGUCGGCUCGGUUCAAGAGUCUCGCCGUCGUGUAGGAGAAAGGGUUUGGGGGAAGUUAAAUUGCUGAAAUUGUGAAUUGAUGUGCUAAUACUGUGAUAAGGCAGCGAAAAAGAAGAAAUUGCAAUAAGCAAAAUAGUCAGAGGCAGAAGAAUAACGCGCUGGCAUUAGAGUGUACAAUCAAAAGCAAGUGAAUAGAUAUUUUUAUAUUUAUAGAUAUUAAAAGGGGGUGCUUAGAAGCAGAAAGUGAUAAAGAAGUGAAUUUCACUGUGGUGCAAAAAUGGAUGGUGAUAGUGCUCAAUCAAUCUGCGGAUUUAAACAACAAGUGACAGCGAUACCUCAAUACGGUUUAAAGCUCAAAUUCAAUCACGUUUACCCGGAGACCAGGAAUCAAAAUUUGAAACCAUCUCUUCGUCAAAUAUGGCCCAUUAUUCCAAUGGCUUUGAGGUACAUCCCCUACUACUGGAAGGUGUCACGCGAAAACCGCCAGGUCUUGAUGGACUACUGGUAUACCGAGAAUGGAAAACAGAUUUAUGGUGCCCCGAUUGGAGGCAUUGGCGCCGGGACGAUUGGGCGUGGAUUCGCCGGCGAGUUCUGCAGAUUUCAGCUCAAACCAGGCCUUUACGAGUACAACACGGUGCACGCGAAUCAGUUCAUCGUCACUAUAAAGGACGAAAACAACGUGACCAUUUUCCAGAGUUUGCUUUCCUCAUACAGGUAUGUAUGUUUUCUUUUUUUUUUCAAUGAAGGGUUAUUAGUCUUUACGGUUAUGUUGACGCAACACGGAAUCGGGAUUAAGCCGUCGCGUUAUGUCGUAGGUACAUGGUGUAAUGAUAGGUAUAGUGAUUUAUUCGCGAGGAAAUUGGGAUUAGUGCCUAUAGAAAUGUUUCAUCUUAUUUUAUAUCACUAAAUAUUGAAGGAAUUUGGAACUAAUCAAUUUGGAAUCAAUGUUGUUCAGAAUUACGGUAACUUUGAACAAAUAAAUUUUAAUUUGCUUCUGUAAUUAAAUAAGUUUAACUAAUCGUCUACAUUUUUAGAUUUUGUUAUAUUGUUACACAGCAUUUAAUAAAUGUAUAAACGUA